UCCCUACGGGAGGCAGCAGUGGGGAAUAUUGCACAAUGGGGGGAACCCUGAUGCAGCGACGCCGCGUGAGUGAAGAAGUAUUUCGGUAUGUAAAGCUCUAUCAGCAGGGACGAAGAUGACGGUACCUGCAGAAGAAGCCCCGGCUAACUACGUGCCAGCAGCCGCGGUAAUACGUAGGGGGCAAGCGUUAUCCGGAUUUACUGGGUGUAAAGGGAGCGCAGGCGGCACGGCAAGCCUGAUGUGAAAGCCCGCGGCCCAACCGCGGGACUGCAUUGGGAACUACCGGGCUGGAGGGCCGGAGAGGG
rnacentral:rRNA from 1 species